CACAAUACCAUCCUACAUGAUUAAUGAUUAUCAUACAUAGUUAAUUAAACAUCAUCCUACAUCAAUAAGAACCUUAAA